rnacentral:rRNA from 1 species
CCUACGGGUGGCAGCAGUAGGGAAUUUUCGGCAAUGGGCGGAAGCCUGACCCAGCAACGCCGCGUGAAGGAUGAAGGACUUCGUUCUGUAAACUUCUGUUAUCAAGGAAGAAAGACGGAUGAAGUAAAUGACAUCCGAUUGACUGUACUUUCUGAGAAAGCCCCGGCUAACUACGUGCCAGCAGCCGCGGUAAUACGUAGGUGGCAAGCGUUAUCCGGAAUUAUUGGGCGAAAAGAGGGAGCAGGCGGCAGCAAAGGUCUGUGGUGAAAUACUGAAGCUUAACAUCAGUAAGCCAUAGAAAUCGGGAAGCUAGAGUGCAGGAGAGGAGAGUGGAAUUCCAGGUGUAGCGGUGAAAUGCGUAGAUAUAUGGAGGAACACCAGUGGCGAAGGCGACGAGCUGGACUGCAACUGACGCUCAGUCCCGAAAGCGUGGGGAGCAAAUAGGAUUAGAUACCCUAGUAGUC